ACGUAGGGGGCAAGCGUUAUCCGGAUUUACUGGGUGUAAAGGGAGCGUAGACGGCUUUGCAAGUCUGAUGUGAAAGGCGGGGGCUCAACCCCUGGACUGCAUUGGAAACUGUGAGGCUUGAGUGCCGGAGAGGUAAGCGGAAUUCCUAGUGUAGCGGUGAAAUGCGUAGAUAUUAGGAGGAACACCAGUGGCGAAGGCGGCUUACUGGACGGUAACUGACGUUGAGGCUCGAAAGCGUGGGGAGCAAACAG
rnacentral:rRNA from 1 species